UUCGUCCUCCCCUCAACGGCCUCUCUCCGCCGCUACCCCCUCGUUGUCAAGCCCACGAGGUGAUGCAGAGCCGCACGGUCUCUGCCACCGAUGACAAGACGGAGCGGUGUAACUGCUCUCCGCCGCUCCGCCGCAUCUGAACCCCUGCUACGAGCGCCGGGUUUCGCAGGAAGAAGAAGUACCAGGCCCACGAUCCCCGGAAUCAGUUCGAGGCUCGCGACAAUGUCCAGCUCCAGAAGGUGCCGCUACAUCACGAAGACAGAAGACCGUCGUCGUCCCAGGAUGUUUCCAAGGCUGUCGACGCUGUAGGACGGAGUGGAAGAUUAAUGGAUGAUAUAUGUCAUCAAACUCUCUCAAAAUUUUGGGAUGAUAUGGAUGGUAGCGAAUGAUGAGGCUCGCUCCUCACAAUGAUGCUGUUGAUGGUAAGGAAGGAUGAAGUCCUUUUCUCAUAGGAAUAAUGAUGGAGGUAUUAUAACAUGGUCGACACCUUGGUAGCGAAUGAUGAAGCUUUGUCCUCACAAUGAUGCUGUUGAUGGUAAUGAAGGAUGAAGUCCUUUUUCUCA